UGGGGUAUCGCCAAGCGGUAAGGCAUCGGUUUUUGGUACCGACACCCUAGGUUCGAAUCCUAGUACCCCAGCCA
rnacentral:tRNA from 1 species